GGCAGACGGGUGAGUAACGCGUGGGAACCUUCCCAAUGGUACGGAAUAGCUCAGGGAAACUUGAGGUAAUACCGUAUACGCCCGAGAGGGGAAAGAUUUAUCGCCAUUGGAUGGGUCCGCGUAGGAUUAGCUAGUUGGUGAGGUAAUGGCUCACCAAGGCGACGAUCCUUAGCUGGUCUGAGAGGACGACCAGCCACACUGGGACUGAGACACGGCCCAGACUCCUACGGGAGGCAGCAGUGGGGAAUAUUGGACAAUGGGCGAAAGCCUGAUCCAGCCAUGCCGCGUGAGUGAUGAAGGCCUUAGGGUUGUAAUGCUCUUUUGGCGGGGAAGAUAAUGACGGUACCCGCAGAAUAAGCCCCGGCUAACUUCGUGCCAGCAGCCGCGGUAAUACGAAGGGGGCUAGCGUUGUUCGGAAUUACUGGGCGUAAAGCGCACGUAGGCGGAUUGGCAAGUCAGGGGUGAAAUCCCGGGGCUCAACCUCGGAACUGCCUUUGAUACUGCCAGUCUAGAGUC
rnacentral:rRNA from 1 species